rnacentral:rRNA from 1 species
GGUUUCCCCCGGAAGGCUCGUCCGCGGGGGGUUAGUCGGGACCUAAGGCGAGGCUGAAAAGCGUAGUCGAUGGACAACAGGUUGAUAUUCCUGUACCGAUAUUUAAUUGCCGAAGGAAGGACGCAGAAGGAUAACACAGGCCACUAUUGGAUGUGGUUUUAAACAGUUAGUCUUCAUAAGAGUCAAAUGCUUUUAUGUUUAAGGAUAAGCUGUGAAUGUACCAAGUUUACUUGGAAAUUGUGUGAUUUCACGCUGCUGAAAAAAGUUUCGUAGGAAGAAAAUAUUGCCCGUACCGCAAACCGACACAGGUACUCAAGUGGAGAACACUAAGGUGAGCGAGUGAACUAUUGUUAAGGAACUCUGCAAAAUGAGUCCGUAACUUCGGAAGAAGGACUGCUGGUUUUAUACCAGCCGCAGCAAAUAGGCCCAAACAACUGUUUAUCAAAAACACAGGUUUCUGCAAAAUCGUAAGAUGAAGUAUAGGGGCUGACGCCUGCCCAGUGCUGGAAGGUUAAAAGGAGGACUUAGCUUCGGCGAAGGUCUUAAUUGAAGCCCCAGUGAACGGCGGCCGUAACUAUAACGGUCCUAAGGUAGCGAAAUUCCUUGUCGGGUAAGUUCCGACCCGCAUGAAAGGCGUAAUGAUUUGGGCGCUGUCUCAACAAUAGACUCGGUGAAAUUUAAAUUCCAGUGAAGAUGCUGGGUACCCGCGACAGGACGGAAAGACCCCGUGGAGCUUUACUGUAGCUUGAUAUUGAAUGUUUGUGCUGCAUGUGCAGGAUAGGUAGGAGACUUUGAAGUCGGAACGCUAGUUUCGAUUGAGUCACCCUUGAGAUACUACC